UACGUAGGGUGCGAGCGUUAAUCGGAAUUACUGGGCGUAAAGCGUGCGCAGGCGGUUUUGUAAGCCAGAUGUGAAAGCCCCGGGCUUAACCUGGGAAUGGCAUUUGGGACUGCAAGGCUGGAGUUUGGCAGAGGAGACUGGAAUUCCUGGUGUAGCAGUGAAAUGCGUAGAUAUCAGGAGGAAUACCGAUGGCGAAGGCAGGUCUCUGGGCUAUAAGUGACGCUCAUGCACGAAAGCGUGGGGAGCAAACAGG
rnacentral:rRNA from 1 species